rnacentral:rRNA from 1 species
GUCGAGAAUCUUCGGCAAUGCGCGAAAGCGUGACCGAGCAAUGCCGCGUGCAGGAUGAAGGCCUUCGGGUUGUAAACUGCUGUCGUCCGGGAUGAAUAAAUGACAGUACCGGGAGAGGAAGUCACGGCUAACUACGUGCCAGCAGCCGCGGUAAUACGUAGGUGACGAGCGUUGUUCGGAUUUAUUGGGCGUAAAGGGUCCGCAGGGGGUCGAGAAAGUUUGAUGUGAAAUCCUGCAGCUCAACUGCAGAACUGCAUUGAAAACUACUCGACUAGAGCAUCUGAGAGGAGAAUGGAAUUCCUGGUGUAGCGGUGGAAUGCGUAGAUAUCAGGAAGAACACCAAAAGCGAAGGCAUUUCUCUGGAAGAUUGCUGACCCUCAGGGACGAAAGCGUGGGGAGCAAACAGGAUUAGAAACCCCAGUAGUCC